rnacentral:hammerhead_ribozyme from 1 species
GUUCAGAUGACGAGUCCCGAAUAGGAUGAAAUGCGCGUUAUCCUGGAU